CAACGAAAAAAGGCUAGAGUGGAAGAAAAUGAGUAUUUUGAAGAAGCAGAAGGCAUACUAUAUGGUGCAGGCAUCGCAGAAUAAAAUCACCUGUUCUCAAAUUUCGAUGCCCGCCAACAGCAUACCUACUUUUGACGGGUUCACGUUUGUCAGCCAUUUUGGAUGUCAAAAAACAUUAAAAACAAUAAAAAAAAAUUUUUUUCUUUUA